CUCCAUCAGCUCUCCACAAUAUCAGCCCUUCCAAAAGCUUCCACAUCUCUCUCAUGUAGCACAUCUGCUCUCAGUCCUUUACUGCCAACUUCCAGUCUUAACAGGUCUACUUGUAUUAAUUUCUCCUCUACAGUCAACUACUUCACAAUAGAAGCAAACAAUGAUUACUGGAGACAGGAGAUAUAUUUUUAAAGUGCCACAAACUGGAGAGAGAAUGCUGUUCUGAGCACUAUGUUUAUCUUGGAAAAGUUUGACACAUCAAUAAACAUUGGAA